CGGACGAGCGAGCAGCCACGGAACGGGACUGCGAUUGAAAACACCCACGCGAUCUUUCGAAAAUAAUAGUACAUACGCACGCUUAUUAUCAAUAGCGAACCGAAUCAAAGGGUUACGUCUACACGUGACGAAACACCACCUGAAAACAAAAAUCAGCGAUUGUUUAACGACAGCAAAUCAAUCUUCGGUGGUACCAACCACCAUUCGGUCCACUUGAACGAAGCGCUUCUUUCUUGUUCGGUCCACUUCGGUUAAGAUCGUGUCGACCGCAGUGCUUGCCGGUGUCCGGCCUGUGUGUUUUCAAUUCGAGACGGUUCGGAGCGACAGAGACAGAAAGGUGACAUCCUGACGUGUGGUGAAGAAUAAAAGCAAACUGUUGACAGUGAUUAAAAGUGACUUGUGUCGAGGAUCGUUAAAGGAUAUUUGUGUCGUGUGACAAUUUAACCAUUCAUAAAUAAUAAGGGAAGUAAUCUGACGGACGUGCUCCAAAAGAAACGGUUAGUUACAAACUGGCACCACUAGAGUGCGUGUUUUAUGCGUUUCUAUGAAAAUCGACACGGUAUUAAAGCGUCGCGUGGCGAAUGUUACUCGAAAUUUCAUUUGUGCUUCGAUCAGUGUUCGUUUCAGUUAAUAAGUAAUACGUCGCGAUUACUUUCAUCCGCGUUCGGAGUGAUUCUCAGUGUCGUUUCGUCGUAAACUCAACGUGGCUACCGUUAUGUCAGUGCAUUGACCAAUCUUUGAAACUUCAAACCGGUGUAUCAGUCCAACGCCGUUCAAUUUACGAGCUCGAGUUUGAGAAGGGUAUCUAAACUUCAAGAUCAACGACUGAACAUUCUUCGAUGAAGAUAUAAAGGUAAACCAGUGAACAUUUAUGAAAUAGAAAACCGGACGAAUGAAAGUAUCAUGAAUCGUAAAGACUAGACGCUAUCCAGAGUAGCCAUAUUAUACCUCGUGACGUUUACUGCGGUUAAAAAAUCAAGAUCUUGUUUCGCGCGCAAACGGAGCAUUGUGCUGGUACUAAUAUUCUUACGAUUCGCUUACAAUUGAAUACAAGUGUCAGCGUCUGUACCAAUAUCAAGAACAAUAACAAAAUAUCCUGAACACGAAGGGAGGAAGGAAGCUUUAUCCAACCGAGCGUAUUCAUACGUGACCUUCGCCGUACACAAACACAGAAGACGCUUGUCAUCGAAUUAGUUCGCAGCUCUUACAAAAGAGUGUACCCACUGGAUUAUUCUCUCAAGGUGAUAUCAAGAGUUCGCCAUAGAGUUCUAGUCUUGACAUUCGGUUGUACGGUGGCGCAGUGGUGAGACGAGUAAAGCUGCAGUUAGCCAGUGAAAUUCAGCUCGUACGUUAAUCCGCCGUUAAUUCGACUCGGUGUUUCGUGACAUUUCGGUGACGCGUGUGAUUGGUGCCCGUGAACGAACGAUCUUAUCGCAGCAACGGGUGAAAAAGUAUAUACGCGUGUGCAAAAGCUCCUUCCAGUUGUGGAUUACAUCGGAGCACAUCGACGUCGUCGUGUUUACCUCGUGGGAGUGAAAGGAAAUGGUCGCCGCGACCUCGUGAAUUCCGAAACCGGCGUGUCGAUCGAGACAACAGAGAGCGCGUGGCCAAUUACUCGCGCACCGUUACCACCCUCGAUUAAUUGAUUAAUUAACUUCCUAAUUAAUUCGUCGAAUCGUUUAAUCUCGCUUUCACUCGUUACUGCCUGCUAUCAAGAAUUUUUAUCAACGUCUCCAACGGUUGUUCGGUUAAGUAACUUGCAAUUUCCUUCUCGCUAACGGCAAUCGUAAUUACGAUUACAUCAAGCACGUCGCGGCGGUUUAAUACCAGUUUCAAUUAUCGCCGCGAAUAACGCUUCCUCGAGCUCGAUUUUCGACCUCUGCAUAACCUGCUCCUCGUAGAUCCUUUGUCCGAUUUAGCCAGGAUUACGCGCUAGUCCGUGGGGGCAGUAUCUCUGUAAUUGUGCCACGCGUACGGUUAAACGCUUGUCUACUACGCGAAGAACAAUAAACGGUGGUGUUUCACGUGACGAUAGUGCAGAAGCAGCCCACUCGGUCACUUGCAAAAAAGUGACCGGUACGACACACAGUUUUCUUCUGGAAGUGGUACGCAAACGGCCUCAAGAUUCAGCUGGACAUCAUGCCCUGGUUCAUCCUAUUUCUUCUACUGUUAGCCGUGAUGGAGGCCUUCCCUCGGGAGGCCACCUGUUCCCGCCUGCCGGACAUCUACUGGAACUCCACCAAUCCAAUGUAAGUAGACGCUGAUCCAGCAUCAAGUAAUAACCGACCGUAUGACACCGUUCCAUGCUGCUUCAUCGGGGAAUAAGAAUAUAACGAGGAUUAGGCUGUGUAAGUCAUUUUUAAGUUUCAAAGAACUGUAUAAUUAUUAUACAAAUUCGAAUCGACGAGUUUCGCGCGAACACGGUCCGAAGGAUUCACCGAAUGCAGAAGGCGCGAAAUUCAAAACAGAGUCGUAAAACGAAAUGGUGAACGCUGAUCGCGAUAGCGAUUUUACGGGUUUCAGCGAAGGGUAAUCCGUAUCUUUAUUGACUUUUACGCGCAGGAUCGCGAUUUUUCGAAAGAUUCGCUUGAACCGUUCUCAAGGCCAGCUACUUUUAUUACCUGGCCAAAACUCGGAAAACGAGACGCGCAAGUAAUACCGAUAGGUUUGAACGAUUCGCGUCAACUUUCGGAUGGUAUCAACCGUGAAAUUCAGAUCAUCUCAUGAAUAUUUAACGCGUAAUCUGACAGAAUUUAGCACGGAAUUAUUUACCGUCGAAUAUUUUUCCGUCUUAGACUGUCGUUAAAGUAUUGAAAUUAAAGUUUGCUCGUCGAUUUAACCAAGUAUUUUAAAAGGAGCAACGUUACAGGAGGAUUAGGCGAAUAAAUCAGGAUAGAAUUAUACAGGACGUUUAAGGGAUCCACGCGAAGUCGUUGGGCGAAAGGUUUCGUGAACGUUGUCAAAGCGAGCGCGAACGAUUCGUGAACGUUGAUCGAUCGACCGAUCGAUCAAGAAAAUCGAAGCUCGUGGCUCCCCGUAGCUCGACAGAGUUUCUCGUCUCUUCCAUUAACGCCGAACACGAGCUAGUUGCUUGGACUAUGGUGCUCGCAGUAUCUCGAUCGAAGGUAGAUCGAUUUCCGCUUAAUUAUGAUAAAUAAACCCGGCGUGUUCGGUGUUCAUUGACAAAUCGAAUUUUCACACCCACGCAUUGACUCGUUUAAGCGAUCUAAUUAAUUUCGAGCCCAGCAUUUUGGAGCUAAAGUUUGACAGACUCCACGUUUAUUUCAUUAAUUUACUACAGUUCUUAUCUACCGAAGAGAUUUUUAUUCUAAAGAGGUCCAACCGAUUCAACUUUGUAAUUCAAACAGUACGAUAUUUUUUCGAGGUCCAAUAUGGCCGGCGAGGAAUAAGCUCGUCCAACGACAGUCGUAAACGUCCCUGAAAGUUACUUGCAGCAUUCGUCCUCGUUGAACGGCCCGAAAAAUUCCAGCCGAUCGUUAACGAGGAUCCGUGGGCCGCAAUAAUUUCCGAAUAACUAAACAGAGAUCGACGCCGGUCAAUCGUGAUCGGCGCCGUGUAUCGGCGUCCGCGGCAAAAAGCAUCGGAUAUGCGUGCGCGCACGCACGAUCCUUUCCUCGAGGUACUAUACAUACGUAGAUACACGAGUGAGCAUGUACUCGCGAGCGAUGGAGCGCGCGUGCAUACGCGCCCUUGUCGGGGCGUAUGCCCGCCGCGGAUGGCCACUAAAUUAAGGCAAAAGAAAAAGAGAUCGGGAGCCAAACGGGCCGCGGGGUAGCCGGGACGAGGUAGGAGGGGAAGUGAAGGAGUAAGAGCGGAAAGGAACGGGCAACAGAACGAUCUCGAAGAACGAGGGAAGAAAGAAAGAAAAGCGAAGAAGCCUGAUCGAGAGAAAAGGAGAGAAGGAAGGAGCAAUGCGCAUGCAUAGCUCGGGCGACACGCAUCGAUCAAUCAUUCGCUAAUUAUGCCCGCGAUUUCUUUCUUUCGUGAGGCUGAACCGGCAUCGCGAGCGGUCAUCGACCCCGCGCGUCGACGAUGCAACGGCCACGACGGAAACGCUCUCCUCUCCUGAGUCCUCCCGUGAGUCCUCUUCGUGGCUAAGUAAAGCCGUCCUCCAACAGACGGGACGUUAUAGAAGGAAGAGGACGAAGGGAAAAGGAAGAAGAAGAAGAGGGAUAGGGAGUGCAAGAGUAAGAAAGUGGAAGAGCGAUCGGAAGAAAGGCUUGGACGAAGAAAAGAGGAGGACGGUCAGGAAGCGGGCAGCCAGCCGGAUCGGAGGCGUAUUAAAUGAAAUUAAGCAAUUAACCAUUUAACCGAAUUAGCACACCGUAGAGAGCGUGGAUACGCCCGGAAGAACGGCGUCGUCCGUCCGACGAGCCGCGGCGAUCCUUCGAGCGUUGCCUCGUUAAUUAAUUAAGGUCGCCUUCGGAUCCAACCGGCCUGCUGUCUCUCUCCUACUCCUCCUAUCCACCUUAGCCCGUUUUCUUUCCAUCGUCACCGGCCAGGAAAAAAGCUGCCGGCCGUUUGGUAUCCCGGUCAUCUCGGACCGUGCCUAUUUUGCGGAUCGGCCGCUGUUAUGCGUACUCAUCGGUAUACGUUUCUUUGCCACGUUUCGAUCGUGAACCGAGACGAUCAUCUGGGUGAUGCGUUCUUGAUUUAAUUGAGCGAUCCGACCGUGCCGCCACUUGUGCAGCCUUCUUAACAAGAUUCCUCGAACAAUGCGGCUGCUUUUCGGCCACGGUGUUAGGAAUUAAACUGGUGCUUUAGCUUUUUGAUAGAUUUAUAUCGCUUUCUCAUAGUCUCGUUUGUUAUCGUUAGAUAAACGCUUUCACCGCGAAAAUCAUACGGACUAAUGGAAUUUACGAUCCAUCUCGCCCACGUCGAUAACGUUUCGUGGUGCGGUAUCUCCCGAAAUGACCGAGGCACGACAGUAAUGACCGGUUGUAAAGCAAUUAACAGUAGUAAUAUACAUAGCUUCCCGUAGCUACUUCUCGUUAACCUGCCUACUGCAACCUUUCGUCUUCUUCGAAAAGAGAAUUGGCUCAGGUCAAAGUUAAACAAACCACGAGGCAAACGAGGACGGACAAGCAAAAGACGGCUUACGAAGCUGCGCGAUACAAGCGAACGGAUCCUUAGUAAAGGCAACGGGCCGAGGAUGAGAAAUGAUAAUCCUCGAAAAUAAAGACGCGAGAGCGUUCCCAGCACGGCGUAGCUCGGAAAUCGUCACUCCAACGAGUUAUCAUUACUCACCGCUGGGAUCUUAAUUUAUUCCGAAGGGAAUGAGCGCCGAAUCACAUCGUCGACGUCCAUCAAUAUCGUUCGGGCCUUUAAUUUAUCGAGACUUUACACGGAUCCACGGACAUGGAUCGAUAAAUUCAUUCGAACGAGGGUCGCGCGUGUCGACUUCCCCGCGCUACCGAUCCUACCAAUUUCCCCUGUACGCGACUCGCUUAAUCGAUCCGAUCGAUCUACGACGCCGCAUUAAUAUCGACUCCGAGCAUCGGCAAUGAAUGAAUCGCGAGUUCGUGACCGCUAUGAAACACACUCGCGAAUAAUUCACUGCCUACUAGUUAUGAUCGAAGGACUCGUUGCCGAUUGAUCUACAAGCUCGAUGCUCUCGAUCGACAAUACUCAUCAUCGUUGCUUCAAACAUUAUCAGGGAAAUCUUUUCAUGAUAUCUUAAACUAAUUUAGCAAGGUGGUCCAUCUCAUCACUGUUGUAUCGUCGGUCAAAUGAAAAAGAUCGAGGCUGUAUCAAUUGAGGAAUGGCAAAACCUUCGCGCAAAUUUUUCAUUCACUCGUCCAGUCAGCUCCUCGGUGAUUAACGAUGUCUCUCUACUUCGCCCAUCAUCCGCACGUUUGUCCUCUCUUAAUUAAACUGUCUACACCAUCUUUUUACCAUUCCUUGAUUCAUGAGAUUUUCAGCGUGCACUCGAGAAACUCGUUGGAAAGGAUAUUAUCCAUAGAUCUGAGGGGAUCAUGCGAGGGAAAUCGGUAGGAUACAAAAUAACUUUUUUAUUUAGCGCGAGUCUUGCCUUCAAGACGGUUCGGACCAGAGUGUCCUUACAAGCCAGAGAAAAUGCUUUCCCGAAGAAAGGAAUCUGACAUGUUCCGAGCGGAACUUGAGGACUUCCGAGAGGACUUUGUAGAGUGGCCGUUGGAUUGGCAAAACGGUACGAAUUAUUGUUUUAUUACUCCUUGACCCGACGGUUCGGACGCCCAAAAAGUCCACACUGCCUUUUGCCUUUUCCUCCGCUGGGAACUUUGCUGGUCGCCACAGAUCGCUGAAAGGUGUAUAGAGCAUGGUCUAUCAAGGUACACCGGCGGCAGCCGCAACCACGAAAACCUUGUCCCCCCCUGUAUCAUCUGGUUAUUUGCCUAAUCCAGUUUGACAGGCAAGUGACACGAUGUUGUGACGGGGUUAGACGUCGUUCUCUCGUCCCGUUCGUUCGACCGUGAAUCCUAUACGACGCCUUCGAUGCCCGUCUCUUUCUCGCGACACUCGAACACCUCGUCGUCUUCGUCGGUUGGGCCGCACCACCGGUGUAAGUCGAUCUAUUUUCUUAUAAUAGGACAGCCGUGGAGCUUCCUCGUCGUCCUGAGGGCUGAUAGAGAA